UACAGGGUGAGAUAAAAAAACUGCAACAAAGUCAAGCGCCAUAAAUUUUACACUUUUUUUUAUUUUUAUUGACUGAAAGCAAAAAAUAUCGGAAAUAUCAUCAAAUUUUAGAAUAUGUUAAGAUUUGUUCGAAUUGGUCAGCAUUGGCACGAUUUAUGGCCUUCAAACGGCCAAUGAAACCGUUACACGCUGCCCGAAUGUUGCUCUGUGGUAUUUUGGCCCAUUCCCGCGAAGCGCUUGCUUGAGGUGAUCGAAACUUUGGUAUUUUUUAGGGCCAACCUUGCUUUCCCAAAAUACUCCAGACACAAUAGUCCAACGGAUUGGUAUCAGGAGAUGUUGGUGGCCAUUGUGCGCUGGAAAUGAAGCGAGAAACCUCAUUUUGAAUGUCCAAGGUCUGCGGCCAAAAUGUUUGCGUGCCCAAGGCUUUAAUACACCCACCAGAAUAUUUUCGCGGUAAUAUUCAGCAUUCUGAUUCUGAUGAUAUUCGAUUAAUACGAGCGAAGAGUUACCAUCGGCUGUUAUGGCGGCCCACAUCAUCACCAUGGCCGGCGCUUGAGUUUUGGUGGCCAACCGAAGGUUCACAUUUUCAGCUGACGUCUUUGGCAAGUAAA